UAGAAAGGUACUUUGACCAAGAAAGUGAACAAAGAAGUGACAGCAGAAUAAAGAGGAAUUUAUUAUGUUCGGGGAUUAAAUUAAAUCAACGCAUGUUUUCAUCAUUGGAAGGACGUUCAAUGAUAAAUGUCCUUCGAUCUGCCUUUUAAAAUGUUGAAUUAAUUGGAAAUGGACAAACCCUGAACGAGAGAUGCGACCUUUGAUGUAAGAGAAUAAAGAUAAACGUGUAAUUUGCCUACGGAAAAGUGUACGUAUGACUGUGAUUAUGAGUGUCAUCAAUCGUGAGAAAGUAUGUAUAUACUCGCGACCUUUUACAUCGUCACCGUUAAUUUACAACGUCCUCGCAAUAAAUUAGGACGAAACUCACGGCCAGCUUACUAUGUACUUGCCUACGUGCCCGGUGAACUUCGCCAGAUCUAUCGAUGGAAAAUAAACGGCAUAUCCAUUAUGAUGUUAUUUUACGGUGGAAACAAAAAGAAAGCGAAGAUAUGUAAAUCUUCUAAUAUCCUCCAGAAGAUUCUGGAUGAAAAAUAGUCGACACGUGGUAGGAGAUUGGUAUUACUGGAAGACAGAGAAGAUAAGGAAAGAGGAAUAACAGUAGAAGAUAUAUAGGAUUCGCAGCUAAAUCGUCGAUGCUGUUACGUACGAAGCGCAUCGUUCACCGAGCUGGCAAAUGGACAACAUCUGCAAUGGACAGAUACGUGUUGUGAUACGUGUUGAAUACGUGUUGUGUCUUUAGUACUUAAGAGUGAGAUAGAGAUAGAGAGAAAGAUUUCAGGGAGGAAUUAACUGAAAUCAAGAGUAGGUGGGAGGUCGAAUAGCGUCCUCUCAUUAUGGCCGCCCCUUGGUCCCGGGAUCGUUCGACGAUCCUUGUACGUGUGUCGUCUCUUGUUCACGCUAAAGAUGGGUGUAUAACAAUCGUAUACAGUAUAUCUCCAAAUGUACAUUAAUAUUUAUAGAUUUAUAUGUAGGGUAUCGUGUUAGUUGUAAAUCGGGCAAGAUUUUUGGUGAUUUCUUUUUUUCGUGAAAAAAGUAAGUAAAAGAGA